CGCCUGGGGAGUACGGGUGAGGUAACGGCCCACCAAGGCGACGACGGGUAGCCGGCCUGAGAGGGUGACCGGCCACACUGGGACUGAGACACGGCCCAGACUCCUACGGGAGGCAGCAGUGGGGAAUAUUGCACAAUGGGCGCAAGCCUGAUGCAGCAACGCCGCGUGAGGGACGACGGCCUUCGGGUUGUAAACCUCUUUUAGCAGGGAAGAAGCGAAAGUGACGGUACCUGCAGAAAAAGCACCGGCUAACUACGUGCCAGCAGCCGCGGUAAUACGUAGGGUGCAAGCGUUGUCCGGAUUUAUUGGGCGUAAAGAGCUCGUAGGCGGUUCAGUAAGUCGGGUGUGAAAACUCUGGGCUCAACCUUGAGACGCCACUCGAUACUGCUGUGACUUGAGUCCGGUAGAGGAGUGUGGAAUUCCUGGUGUAGCGGUGAAAUGCGCAGAUAUCAGGAGGAACACCAGCGGCGAAGGCGGCACUCUGGGCCGGUACUGACGCUGAGGAGCGAAAGCAUGGGGAGCAAACAGGAUUAGAUACCCUGGUAGUCCAUGCCGUAAACGUUGGGCACUAGGUAUGGGAUCAUAUCAACGGAUUCCGUGCCGUAGCUAACGCAUUAAGUGCCCCGCCUGGGGAGUACGG
rnacentral:rRNA from 1 species